AAAAACAGAAGUAUUAUUGAAAAGCACAUACGUGUUUAAUACAAGUAUUAAACGGGAAAAUGCUAAAUUCUUUAAACGGUAAAAACUCACGAAAAGUAAAAACUCAAAAGGAGACAAUAGAGACUCGAGAAAUGGCAUAAUAGUAACAGAUAAUACUCUAAACUACCAUUGUAGACAGAAAUUUCGAGUACCAGAAGAACUUCUUUUGAAUUUAUUUUAAAAAUUUUAUAUAUUGGAGGAUUGGAAUGCAGGACUUCGAAUUCAAGUGUAAACACUCAACCCAUUGAGCUAACAUAAAAUCAAAAGUUGAAAUCACAUAAUUGAUGUCCCUUGCUUGAUAUAGUUUCUUGCCUUUUUGAUGGUUUGCUUGUGACAUGGAAUCAAAAUUCGAAAUCACAUCAUUGAUGUGUAUAUUGAUCAAAUGUUCCAUUUUAAAAUUACAAGAGUUCGUGAAGCAUUAUUAUUAGAUACGCCAACUUGGAAAGCAAGCACAUAAAACAAACAAAAAAGCAAAAAGGAACUUCUCAUGACCCAAGAAAUUCAAAAAAUACACAAAAGCACAUAAAAAUUCAAACAAAAAGGAACUUCUUAUCAGGAACAAGAUGAUCCAAGUAUGGACUGAAACAACUAGUUAGAUUCUAGUCAAUUCAGAUUUCUUGGAGAAAGAAGAACCCGGUUAAUCAUGUUGUCCAAAGCCAAGAAUGAUAACCCAUUUGGACCAGUAGCGGCCUCCUCUGCCAACUUCUUCCAUUCCGUGGCUUUCUUCCUCAUCUCUUUGCCCUUCUCUCCCUCCAUUAAUGUUCGCACAAGGUCCUCUAUGUAGUUUCUUUUAACAUCACCCUCUAUCUCUAUGCCUACGCCCCAUUCUUUGCAACAGAACCUGCAAUUGGUUUGUUGCUCUGCAAAGAAGGGCCAACAGAUCAUGGGCACUCCACCACACAAACUUUCAAGGGAAGAGUUCCAUCCACUGUGUGUCAAGAACCCUCCUACAGCUGGGUGGCUCAGGACUUGUUCUUGAGGGCACCAACUUGAGAAUAGACCCCUUUCUUCGGUCUCUUCCAAAAACUCCGGUGGAACCACAGCGGAUUCUCCAAGAACAAGGUCAGGCCUUAUAACCCAUAAAAAGGCCUUGUUGCUAUUUGCAAGUCCCCAAACAAACUCAAUUAGUUGCUCAGAUGUCAUGACUGUGAUGCUUCCAAAGUUGACAUAAACCACAGAAUUUGGUUCUUUUGAGUCAAGCCAUUCAAGGCACUCUGUUUCUUCUCUCCAUAGAUUUGAUUCAAUCGACUUCAAAUUGUUAUAAUCUGGUGGAAUCUGACUAACCUGUAGUUGAAGGGGUCCAAUGCAGUAAAUAGGUGGUAGCAAAGUCGAAAGUGCAUCCAGAACUUCAAGCUCUAAGGCGUCAAAUGUGUUGAAAAUGAUUGCUGAAGCUUUCUGGGCUCGUUCGUACUCACUCACAAGAUAUUUCAGCAUGAUGUCAUUUGGAUCUGUGGUUCUGACGAAGGUUGGCAAGUCCCUCAAACGAAUAUGUCUCAUGCCUGGUAUCCAAUCUAUUACAGUAUCUAAAUACCCAUUUGUCAAAUAGCUGGCAUCUGCAAAUCAAAUAGGUCUUCUGAGUCAAACAUUCUAACCAAAAAAGAAAAAAAAAAAAGUUAACAAUUUUAUUAUGUAGUGUCCCCAAAUGACCAGUGAGGAAUUUGAAGUAAAUUCCUCUUUUUUUUUUUAAUUGAUUAUUUUUGAAGAUUGAAAUAUUCUUUUAUUAGACAAAUGCGAACGUUGUUAGAUUGAAUAUAUAGUAUACAAGAGUCAACUUGAUUACUAUUCAGAUUCACAUUCUAAUAAUAUAAAUAUUGUUUGACAAGUGAACGUUCUUGUCAGUAUAAUAGUACCUUUAAGAGGAAUUAAACCCUUUUCCAUCAGAGGGAGAUACUGAAGGUAACCCAACGAGCCACAAGCACUCGUUGUUUCGAAAAGAACACAGGGAAUGCCAAAUUCUUGGGCUGCAUCAAGUGAGAAUGUCAUGCCACCAUCAGAAACUAAGCAAGUAACUGGAGGGGAAUGGGGUAAAGAGUUAAGCUUUGAUAAAAGGUCUCUGAAGGGUGCUAAGCAAUUUUUACUAGUGGAAAGGCAUAGGGAUGGUAUGUCUUGGGUGGCGUUGUCAUCAGAUGGAGGGAGGCCAUCAGGAAUGGUCUCGAAUUGAAAGGAGGGGAGGCCGUCGAGAGAGUUGGGACCUCGAGAUUUAAGGAGGCGUUUGUGGUUGAACUCUGUGUUCACAAAGGUUAUAUGAAAACCUUUGUAGUGGAGGAGCUUAGCUAAUUUCAGCAUUGGGGUUAUGUGACCUUGAGCUGGGUAGGGUAUGCAAACUGCAUGUGGCUUCUUUGUCAAGGCAACAGAACCCAUUCUCUCGUUUCUCUCAAAUCACACACAAAACCUAUGGAAAAUAGGAUAUGCUAUGGUGAAGAGCACCUGCAGUUUUAUAGCAGUGACAUACAAUGUCAAUAAUUGGUGGUCAAUCAUGGACCUGGACAUGUACAUUGUAUUCUCUGAUCAACUUUGCCACAUUUUUAAAUCAUGACCAUUCCUUUUAUUUCCAUUCCGCACCAAUCAUGUCUAAUUAACGACAAAUCGUUAUGUUCUUCAAUCUAGAAUGCGAGAAACGUGUGAAACAGAACAUGUAUAAUCACUAUAUUCCUCAGGCAGAUGUGAGCCAUACCCAAGUUUGGCCAAGCCCAAAAGCAAGACUUGUUUGGGCAAGCUAACCUCACGUUGACGUCAAUAGCCAAUUUAAAUAUUAAAAAAACGAGAAAAAAAAAUGAAAAAAUUCAGAAUUUUUUAUAUAUAAAUACCUAGUCAUAUUCUUCACUUCUCACACCAAAACUCCAUAUAAAUUUAUCUCCUCAUAUUUCAUGUGAAUAGUUGUUGCUCUUGAGUUGCCAUAACAAUGGGUGGGAAUGCAUAAAAAAGAUUUGCUAAGGCAGUCACUAUUCAUAUGAACAGUAAUAGUCCUUGUCUUUUGCCAUGGCAAAUGGGUGAUAGUACUCUAAGAAGAGGGACAUUGCACCCAACGAAAACUAGGUCAAAGCAUAAUAAACAUGAAUGGGCGAAAUAAUCUACGCGAAACCUAGCAAAUAAUAUGAGGCAUAGUUGUAAAAACUAAGGAUAAUAUAGUAAAUUAACAAUUUUUCAUAUUAAAAUUUUUUUUAAAUCAAAAUCAAAGUAAAAACAUGGUCCUAUUUUCACGAGACACAAAAAUCAAACUCAUUUUCUCUUUCGUAAUUUUAAAGUUAAAAAAAAAAAAAAAACAACUAGUGUAUCGGCUAAGUAAGAUAUGAGGAACAAUACGGCUUUUUAUAAAUUCAGCCAGAUAACUCAUGGUGUGGUUACUAAUCAGGAAUUGGAAUUCUCAUCAGGAAUUGAAUUCCACUUAUAGAGGAAUCCUGUGUUUAUUUCGUAUCAAGGAAUUGAAAAGUGAGUGGGGUCCGCACGAAAUUAGGAUUUGAAUUCCUAAUUUUGGAGGAAUUCAAUUCUUGGAUGGGAGGUGAUAUUCUAAUUCUUGGAGAAUUAACCCAUUAGGAAUUUAUCUUUUUUACCCAUUAUAUCCUCACACAAUUUUCAAAUUUUCAAAUUUGCCAUCUACUUAAACCCAACAACUAGGACGAUUUAGUAAUUAGUACCACUCAUACCCCAAUUCUAUAUGGUUUAGUAAACAACUUCAAUGAAAAUCUGAAAUCUAAUUCUCCUUAAUCCAACUCUUCCUCAAUUCAAUUUCUUUUAAUCCAAUUACGAAUAAACAUGCCAUCAGUUGCUUGUUCGGCCUGGUGUCUGAUAUUCAUUAUAAGUUGGGCUGAGCCCUUUUGGGCUUGCCUUGUUUUGGAACUUCUUUUUUUAUUUUUCUUUUUUGUGCUUAAUAUAUUUUUGUUGUACAGAAAAAAAAAAAGAAAAAAAAAGAAAAAGAAAGUGAUAACAGCACCGAUCGAGCUUUCAUGAAAGCACAUGUAUUCAUAGUACAAUUAUAGAGAGAGCACGUCAUCUUAGCCAACUUGCAUAUUAAUCCAAAAACCUGCCAAGGAACAUGGUAUGCAAGCAGUAUCACCACUGGCACCACAGAUAUCUGAUUUCUAAUGUCAUGCUAUGUUUCAUACGGCAGAUGGAUAGGGCUUUAAAGCACAAAUCAGAUCUUCCAAAUCUCGGCAAAAAUUUACCUAUUUCAUUGCAUCAGCUCCCAAGAAAAUGCCAGUCCUUGAGCCAUAUUAGACAUCCAUUUCUUUUUGUCGUGCUAAAUAUUGAAAAGCCAACAUGGAGUGGACCACCUAAGAGCAAACAAAUCCUUUAAGAGUCGGUCCAUUUGGAUGGAGUGAUUUCAAAUUCCGGGAGUUUGAAGAAAUUAUAAGGUUAAAUUUUUUUAUUUAGAUUAUUACGAUAUAUGUAUACUAAGAUUUGAAUAAGAAUGAAAUGACGAAAACAAAUGAAUUAUUGCACAUAGUCAUUUGAAACUCAUUCCGAAUAUACUAUAUUUACGGCUAGUUAUCUCAAACACAUUCGAUCUAAUCUUUUCUUUCUGCGACUUCCAUCCAAACGGAGCCAGAUUUCGGGCCUUUCAAACGCACUACAACAGGAAGCAUGACAUUGACAUGGAAGCCCAUUACGUGCAGCAAGUAUGGCAAGUAGUUGGCAGUGAAAGAUGACCGGAAACGCAUGAGAAGGAGCAAGCGUUGGAUUUGCAUUUGUUUUUGUGGUUCAGAUUUCAAGCACAUCACUACAAAAAGUAAGUGGAAGAUGUUGACAUAUAUGGAGAAAUCUCCAAUGCUGUCUAUAAUUAUUGUUAGGUUUGAAUAAUUCUCAUGGUAACAAAAAAUGUGAAGACACGGAUGCCAGAGAACGAAAGACAAGGGCUGCAUGGAAAUUAUUAUUAUAUUUUGGUCGAAAGAUGGAAAUUAUUAGAAAAAGUACAAAUAAGUGCCCGUCACACUCCAGACAAGUGGGCAUUUGCGUGAGAUUCCACUCCUACAUGCCCUUUGGAGGAGGGAAAGGUUAAAAUUUGUUUGAGUUGUUCUUCUUUAUUUUUCCAUUUAUCAACAUGACUUUCUACUUAUAAUUGUAUUUUGAAGUGAGAAUUAGUGCUUAAAACAUGGAAUUAAUUAGUGGAUACAAGUGAGGUCCGAAAGAGAAAAGUGAACUCAGUUUGUAUUUUAGUAAAUAUAUGGAAGAAAACUCCAUUUAGAUCCAAAACUUGAAUUGGAAAAUUUUAAUUUUAUUUCCUGAUACCAUUUUCGGUAAAAUUCUACGCGUCUCAAUUAUACAACCAGCCAAAUUAAGCUAAUACAAACGGUUUGAUUGAGUUUUUACACUAAAAAAGUUAAUCUUAAACGAAACUGAACCAAAUAGCAAUUAUUCAUGAAAGCUACAUAAACCGAAUCAAACUACCUAUAUUAAUCUUUGUUUUUUUUAACACCUAACAUUUUCUGUAUUGGUUAUUAUCACCAUCUCAUGUGUUUGUUUCAUUCCAUAAUGCACCUCCUUUUUAUUAUUAAACUUCUCCAUCUUCAAUGGAACUAAAAUGUUUGCUUAAUUAUUGUUUAUGCCACUAGUUUAAGAUCUAAAGCAAACAUGAUAUUAUAUUACAGUUCGGAUAAUGAUCAAAACCGAAGGUGAUAAUGUAUUAAAUUGGCGUGAUGUUCUAGGUGUAAACUAAAGUGAACUAAACAAGGCGGAUCCCUUCAAAGCGCCGCUGAUUGCAUUGCAUGCAUAAGAUUGUGAUGCAACACUGGAGUCUGGAGAGCCAUGAAGCCAAUGCACAUUAACACUGGAGUCUGGAGAGCCAUGAAUUCAAUGCAAUGUGCAUUGGCUGUUGGACUAAUUCGUAAUAAACAUUAGAUAUUAAUUGAUGAUCUGACGAAGCCGUUCAUAAGCAAUGAAUAUGUAUAUUUGUGCGUUAUAGAGUGAUACGGUAUCAUCACGUCAACUAGUGAUAUUCUCAUUUAAAAUUUGAUAUGUAUCAAUUUUAAAAGAAAAUUAAAAAACAAUUACACAUGAACUUUGUCUUUCAAGUUCACCCUUCAACAUUAAUUAGACCUAAUCCCUCUCCCACCAUCUCUUCUCUCUUUUCCCUCGCCACCCACCCCAGCCUUUCUCUCCCUUCUCCUCCAACAUCACCAACCCCUCUUUACCUCCCUCUCAUUAACGCAUUAAGAAAAAACCAAAAAUCUUGUCUUGAAUAUAUAUGUGCAAAUCAGAAAUAUUCAAAAGCAUCUUCUAUGAUGAUAAGUUGACAACCCACAAAUGAAAGAAAUGUAAUGAUGGAUGUUUUGGGCAACCAAGUAACCUGGUAGACAGAUUGCCGAUGGGAUCUUGGUGGGACACUGCUACAAUCUUGUUUUCUUUUUCAUGUUUUUCAAAAAAAGUUAAAUAAAAUUUAUUCAGAGUAAAGUUAGAAGACAAAGUACAACUAUGAAAAAAAUAUAAUUAUUUUUUUAAAAUUGACACGUGUUAGAUUUUGAGUGGGAGUAUCACCCGUUGACGUGGUGAUACCAUCUUAUUCUAUAAUUUCUCCUGUGCAUAAAGCCAUAUUAUAUUAUUAGACAACUAUAUAUAUAUAUAUUUUUUUUUUCUGCAAUGAAUUUAAGCUCAAUCUCAGUAGAAACUAUUAUAUUUCGUUUGGUGGUUCGGAUUAAAUUAGAUUAGAAUUGAAUUUAAGCUAGUUCUUAUUAGUCUUAUUCAUUUUUAUAAGAUACAAUAUGUAGAAUGGUUGUCCAUUUUAAUAAGAUCAUUUCCGGAGCACCGAAACAAUUAAGACUAUAACCAUUUAAUUGAUAUAGUCCAGUACAAUCCCACCCAGGGGCAGUUCUACACCUAGGGCAAGGUAGGUUGCUGCCUAUCCCAAAUUUUUCAAAAAGGAAAAAAUACCCAUAUGUAAUAGGCCAACCCAUGUGAAACAUACAAACCUAUGCCCACCCAAAAAGCAACCCACAUGUAUGCAUAAUCUAAAAUUUCUCUCCUCCUUAAUUAUCUUCUCUUUAAUUUCCUACCUCCAAAUUUUAAGAUGUUGUAUAUGACAACAUUGAAUAUAACAUAUUUUAAAUAGGUUAGAAGUUAUGUGUUCUAAUCAAUUUUAGGGUUUACUUAAGAAUGAAUUAUAAUUUGUUGACUUUGUUGAAAUUAAUUAGGUCUUUGGAAUUUUGUUGAGAUGUUUGAUUUGAUAUUGGUAUUGUUGAGAAGUUUGAUUUGUUGUUGGUAUGUUAAUGUUUGAUUAAAGUCAUUGAUGCUAUUAUGACAAUUUAUUUGAUUUUUUGUUGGGAUGUUGGAUUAAAUAGGUUAUCUUUUGGGAUGCCUAUGCCUAUGCAAUCUUAGUUGGGAUGCCUAUGCUAGAGUUUCUUCGAUCUUGCCUGAUCGUUAGUGGAGACAUACAUGAUUUUCUUAAUUUUAAUAUUAGACCACUCUGUUAUUGUAAUGAUCCUUUUGUGGCUAGUUUGUAUUGACCUUUUAUGGCUAGUGGCUUUUUUGGCUGAAUUAUGAAUGCAAUCAUAGAAUUUCUCAAAAAAAAAAAAAAAAAAGGUUAUCUUUUGUUAUAUCGGAUCACAAUCUGAACCCCAAGAAAACAAAGAAUUUUUUGGAUUUUUUUUUAUAAGAAAAAGAAUAGGUUUUUUUUUUUGGCUAAACUUUUAUUUAUAUAUAGAGAUGUAUUUGAGGGUAAGACUUAUUACGUCCCCCUACUAAAGUGUAUAUUUUUAUGUUUUUUUUUUUUUAAUGAGAUUCACUCAUAACAUUGAGUUUUUAAUGUAGACUUCGCCCAACUGAAUUUCGAAUCUUGAAUCCACCAUUAAUCUCACCCACUAUACACACAUGAAACUGCAAAUUAAGAACAGAAAUAGUACCCUUUAUUUAGAUUAAUAGGCAGUUGAAUUUCUCAAAAGCCUCGGCAAACGGUACAUAUUUUAUUUUUUUUAUCAGGAACUGGAUGAUCCAAAUACAGAUUAAAACACCAGAAAGAAAAAAAAGAACAAGAUGGAAUUGAAUCAAUUCUAAUCUCUUGGGGAAAGAAGCACUUUGCUAACCACAUUUUCCAGAGCCAAGUAAGACGACCCUUUUGGGGCAGUGGCGUCCUCUGCCAACUUCUUCCAUUCAAGGGCUUUCUUCCUCAUCUUUUUGCCCUCUUCUCCAUCCAUCAAUGUCCUCACAAGACCGUCAAUGUAAUCUCUUUUAACUUCCCCGUCUAUCUCAAUGCCUAUGCCCCACUGUGUGCAGCUGUACCUAACAUUUGUUUGCUGCUCUGCAAAGAAAGGCCAGCAGAUGAGAGGCACUCCGCCACACAAGGCCUCGAGGGUAGAGUUCCAGCCACUGUGAGUCAAGAACCCUCCAAUGGCUGAGUGGAGCAGAACCUGUUCUUGAGGGCACCAACUUGCCAACAUACCCCUCUCUUUGGUCUCCUCCAAAAACUCAGGCGGCACCACAGCGGUUUCUCCAGCAACAAGGCCAGGCCUGAUGAUCCACAAAAAUGGCUUCUUGCUAUUUGCAAGUCCCCAAGAAAACUCAACCAGCUGCUCAUUUGUCAUGACUGUGGUGCUUCCAAAGUUGACAUAAACCACAGAGUUGGGCUCUUUGGUGUCCAGCCAGUUAAGGCACUCUGUAUUCUCUGCCCACAGGUUCGAUCCGAUCGCCUUCAAAUCAUUGUAUUCUGAUGGAAUCUCGCUGUAUGGUAGCUGAAGGGGUCCAAUGGAGUAAAUAGGAGGUAGCAAAGUGGAAAGGGCAUCCACAACUUCUUGCUCCAAGGCAUCAAAUGUGUUCAAAAUAAUAGCAGAAGCCUUUUUGGAUCGCUCUGUUUCAGACACCAUAUAAUGCAGCAUGAUGUCGUUUGGGUCUGUGGUUCUAAUAAAGCUAGGCAUGUCCUUCAAUCUGACAUCCUUCAUGCCUGGGAUCCAAUCAAUCUCUGUAUCCAAAUACCCAUUUGCAAAAUCCUUGGCAUCUGCAGAUCAAAUUAAGAAAUCAAUGGAACUAGUUAGCUAACACUCUUUAAGUUUUUUUUAAAAAAAGUGAACUUCUGUUUUUUUUUUUCCCUGAAUGAUUAAUUGAUAGUACCUUUAAAAGGAGUGAGGCCCUUCUCAAUGAGACGGUAAUACUGAACGUAGCCCAUCAAGCCACAAGCACUAGUUGUCCAGAAAAGCACUUCUGGGAUCCCGAAAUGCUCUGCUGCAUCAAGGGUGAAGCUGGUGACACCAUCAGCAACAAUACAAGUCACAGGAGGGGAAUCGGGUGAAGAGUUGAGCUUGGUCAAAAGCGCCUCGAAGGGUGCCAAGCAGGUUUUACUAGUGGAAUCGCACACCAAAGGCAAGUUGCGCCUGGCAUCGGCAUCAGCCGGAGGGAGGCCGUCGGGAAUGGUUUCGAAUCGAAACGAAGGGAGGCCGUCGAGAGCGUGGGAACCUUGGGAUUCAAGCAUGCGCUUGUGGUUGAACUCUGUGUUCACAAAGGUUAUGUGGAAGCCUUUGUAGUUGAGGAGCUUGGCUAAUUGCAGCAUAGGGUUUAUGUGACCCUGAGCUGGGAAGGGUACAAAAACUGCAUGUGGCUUCUCUUUGGAGGCAACUGGACUCAUUUUCUCUGUAUGAUAUCCUAGACAAAAGAGCUGAAGGGAAAUGGAGAUGAUGGGAUGCUAAGAGAAGUGUAAGAACUUGCAGUUUUAUAGUGGUGAAGGGUCAAGGGCUGCACUGUGCGGGCAAGUGCUUCUUGACCGUUGAUGCAUUUUUCGGAUUCUCUAUCUGUUUUUUUAAGAUAAAUUGAGUGCCAGUCAUUCCUCGUGGUAUGAUUAUUAUAAUCUCAGAGAUCGACCUUUCCAAAUGAGUCCAAGGCCACGGUGUCCAGAACAAAUGCUCGCACAACUACUGCCUGAUUAGUGUGUUAGAUUGGAGACAUUGUCGCAUGGCAAGUGUGAAAUGUGUGAAAUGUAUGUAGACUUCAAAACGCACACAAGGUUCAGUCAUAAUCAGAAGAGAAAUGCUGGCCGGCAACUUUCAUAAUUUCAUGGGCCAUACUCUUUUAAAUAAAGAUGUAGAAAGUCUUUAAAAAAAGGAGAAGUUUUAGAGAAUAAAUUACAUUGGGAAAAAGAAAAAGAAGUUUCACACUUUCAUUUUUUUCACUUACACUCGUGCAAAGAUAACUAGUCUUAAAUGAUUAUUCAGUAAUUUAUAAAAUAAAAUAAAAUAACAAACUAUGCUCCUGUGUAUAAGGUUGCAUUUUAUGAAGAACAAACAUUAUUUGUCACCAUCAAUUAUGGAUGUUAUUACUUUUUGGUUUAGUUUAAUAUUGAAAAGAGGGAAUAAAUACAUGACCUUGGUUAUAACUUAUAGGGACAAAUAUUCUAAGUCACUUCAGCCCCUUAUAAAAUUUCAAAUUUGACUAAACCAUAUCAUUUUUCAUCUUGACUACCCUACAAUCUCAUUAAAUCUUUCUUUUUCCAUUUGCCUAUGCUAGUCACCAGUCAUUAGAAAAUCCUUGUGGCUGGAUGUCGAAGAGUCUAUGCCAAUGCCCAUUAGUUAUUCCAUUUGAAAGAACAUGUGCUUUGUUUUAUGCAUUUACUUUUUAUUUUAUUUUAUACAAGCGAUAUUGAGGGGAGAGAAAUCGAACUUAGGACCUCGGGUGUAAGUGUAUUUGUUCUUAAUCACUUGAGCUACAAACAGGGGCAGAGCCAUUAAAGGAUUAGUGUGGUCCCAUGCCCCCACUCCAUCUUUUAUUCAUUGUAUUAUAAUAUUAUGUAUGAUGUAUAAUAUUUAACAUAUUAGACUAGUUUUAGGAGAUAUUUAUCCUAAAAUAAAUAGUAUAUUUUUUGUAUUUUUUGUCUACAACAAUAAAACUUCUUAAUCACUUUUUUAUUUCUCUCUUUUACCUUCUAGAUUAGUUUAUGAUAUUUACACUAAAAACUCCUACAUUUUUAACCUUUCUUUCUCUUUUUCUUUUGUGUAAGUUAAACUUUGUGAAUUUUUAUUUCCCUCUCUUUUUUCAUAGAUUUUAUGAACCCCUUUUGUAUUUAUUCUCUAUGUUGGAAUAUAAAUUAUUAAUUUGUGAGUUUAUAAUAUUUUAGAUGAUGAGAUUAGUACUUAACCAUUAUAAAAUAUGAAAUUGCGGACAAUUAUGAUUGUAAUGAAUGGAUAUAUUAAUCAAUAUAAAAUGAUGUUAUGAAGUAGGCCAAAAGGAGUAGUUUAAUUAGUGUCAUAUUAAUUUAGCAUAUUCUUAAUAAACUUGUGAAUGAGAAUGACUCCCUUUAAUUUGAAAUCCUGAUUCUGCCAUUGACUACAAGUCCCUUGCACAUUUACCUUUUUCAUUUAAGUCUGAAGAAUGCCUUGUAAAAAUGUAAAACGAAAACUAUUAUUGACACUGCAAAGAAAACAUCAUACAUUAAUUCAUUCAAUUGUAAUUUCUCUUAUGAUUUUAUAAUUUUUUAGAAUUCCAAUAACAGCUCUGGAUAAAAUUCAUUAGAAAGAAGAAUUGAAGUAUGUUCAAACAGAUUUCAAAAUAGACUAAACAAUUUAUCAGUAACAACUUUUGUCAGCUUAAUUCCAUUUGUGUGUCAAUUUCGUCCUUAUUAUCAUAAAUUCUGUUAUCAGUAAACAAUCCCCAUAUCAAACAGAGUGUUCAGUUAAGGACAGUGACAAUCGAGCAAUAUUGCCUGACGAAACACCAAACCAGAACUUAAAAUCACGAUAAAAAGGAAAAGAAAGACGUGCUGUCUUCAAUGAGAAAACCAACUUCAGAUCUAUUCUCACACCAAGUGAAAACAUAAGGACAAGAUUGAUGAAAUCGAUGACACAUUAACACUACAACACUGGGCGAAACUCGAGUUUCAUUGUGUUGAAAUGAGUGAUACGAGUGUGCCUUAAUCUAAGAAACAUUGCACACCGCCCAAAAAAAUACUCAAUAAUUGUAUUUUGGUCAAACAAAAAAGAUGAGCAAAUUACAAAAAAAGUAAAAAUAAAAAUAAUCAGGGAAUUCAGAAGAUGUUAUAAAGUAAUAAGCGAAGCCCAUAUAAAGAAAGUAAAAGGAUAUUAGUCAAAAGAUGAAAUUAUGAUGUUGCGUAAAAGUAUCAUUAUGUCUCCUUUAGAUGCCAUUUGCUUUGCCUAUAAAUAGGCAUCAUUUUACUUGUAAAGAUACAUGAAUGGAGAAAAGAAGAGAAAGAAGAGAAAGUGAGAGGAAAUAAGAGAGAGUGAGAAAUCUGAGUGUGUGAGUUCUGUCUAAGAAGAAAUUCUAUCAGUGUAAACAUCAUAAAGAGCAAAUAUAAUUUCACUCCCAAUAUUCAGUGGUACUUCUCAUACUCUUUAAUUUCUUUAGUUUUAUAACACGUUAUCAGCACAAUAGUCUCUCCUUUUUAUUUCUAAAUUUGUCCCAGUGUGCUCAACACUAUGUGGUUAUUUCUCUGUCUCCUCUCUGUCAUAUGUCUCAUCUCACUUUACUACUACGACGACAUGCAAACUUUCUUUUUUGUGUUCUCACAAUUUUUAUGUUGUUUCAUCCAUGCUUGUUUAAUUUACUUCUUUGUAACGUAAUUUGGAAUGAUGCCGUUUUAUACCCCAUCAUGUUGUUUUAUGGUGGUGUAAUUUUUAUUACCCAUCACGUUGUAACACAAAUUAUCAUAAUAAAAUGAUGGUGUGAUCUUAAAACCCAUAUAUUAUAUUUUGAAUAGUGGCGCAGUUAUAUUGCCUGCAAUAUAUAAUAUGUUAUAUACUUUAUAUAUUUUAGGUGGUGGUUUUUGUCUCCACAUUUACUUUAACAAAAUGGACGGUUUUCACCUCCUAUAUUUUUCAGUGGUGGUUUUAUCCCCACAUUUAUUUUAUUUAUGGUAUAGAGUAGGUUUAUUACUCAUACGGCAAUAUUUAUUUAAAAAUGUGGCACGGGUUUAUCGUCCACACAGCUGCCUUUAUUUUUAUUUAAAAGUAUGGAGCAGAAUUAGUCCCCCUGCAAGCACAUUUGCUUUAUUAUUGUAUGGUGUGGAAUUAACCUCCAUACAACAAGCAAUUUACUUUAUGAAUUUACUUUACUGCACAUUUUCUUUCAUUUAAGGUAUAGUGCGAAUUUAUCGUCCAUACCAGCAAAUUUAUGGCACUUUAUUUUUAUCAUCAAUUAAUAUACCUGAAUAAUGAGGGCCUGAAGUUCCUAUUAAUAAGUGGCUUAAUGUCCCAGAUCCCAAGCCUAAAGUUUCGGAUGGCAAAUUUGGCAAAACUGAAGUUUACUGCCUUGGACAUUUCUGGAGACAACUAUUUAUCAUGGCUUUUGGUUGCCAAAAUCCAUCUACGUGCCAAUGGCCUCGUACAAACAAUUUUAUAUGGGAAUGAUGAUUUGCCUGAAGAAAAUGCGAAGGCCAUGAUCUUUCUUCGUCACCACAUCCAUGAAGCGCUGAAAAGCGAAUAUGUGGUGGUUGAUGAACCGUUGGUUCUAUGGAAAGCUUUAGGUGAAAGAUACGAUCACUAGAAGAUGGUGACCUUCCCAAGAGCUAGAUAUGAAUGGACCUACUUGAGAUUUCAAGAUUUCAAGACAGUGUCCGAGUACAACUUUGCUAUGCACAGAAUUACCUCAUUGAUGAGGCUAUGUGGUGAAAAUAUAUCUGAGGAGGAUAUGCUCGAAAAAAACUUUGAGCACUUUUCAUGCUUCAAAUGUCCUCCUGUAGCAGCAAUACAGACAUAGCGGUUUCAAGAAGUACUCGGAACUUGUAUCUUGCCUCUUGUUAGUUGAGCAGAAUAAUGAACUCUUAUUAAAGAAUCACCAAUCUUACCCAACGGGCUCAGCACCACUUCUUGAAGUAAAUGUUGCAUCUCAAGAAGUGAAUGUCACCUCAUCCCGUGGCAAUAUCCACAGACGUGGACAAAAAGGCAAGCGUGGCUGCUGGCAAAGAAGCAAAAAAGAUCGUGGUGCUCGUUCAGAUGGUUUAGGUUCAAUGAGCAAUCAUCCACGAAUGGCAAAAAUGCAUCCCGUAAUAAGGGGAAGGCACGGACGAGCCAUGUGCCUAGAAAUGUGGGAAGUACUUGUCACAGAUGUGGUGCAAAGGGACAUUAGGCGCGUGAAUGUCAUACGCCCAAGUAUUUGGCAAGCUCCAAAAGAGUCAAGAAAUUAAAGUCAGACAAAUCCGCUCAAACGAUAACCUGGCAGAUCUCUUCACCAAAUUAUUGCCAAAAUGUACAUUUCAAAAGUUAGUGCAUGGCAUCGGAUUACGAUAACUCUUCAAGCAAUCAAAUUGAAACAUGCAAAAUUAGGGGGAGCAUUCAAGAGUCCACUAACACAGGACAUAUGAGCGUUGUACUCUUUUUCCUUCGACUAGGGUUUUUCCUAGCAAGGUUUUAACGAGGCAACAUGAGCGCAUUUAACAUUACCCUUAUGUCCUAAAUAAAGUUGUACUCUUUUUCCUUCAUUUAUGUUUUUUCCCACUGGAUUUUUUCAAGUAAGUUUUUAAUGAGGCAACCAAUCUAGGGACAUGUAGUCUCCAAGGGGGAGUGUUAUAAAGUAAGAAGUGAAGCCCACAUGAAGAAAGUAAGGAGGUAUUAGUCAAAAGAUGAAAUUAUGAUGUUGGGUAGAAGUAUCAUUAUGUCUCCCUUAGAUGCCAUUUGCUUUGCCUAUAAAUAGGCAUCAUUUUACUUGUAAAGAUACAAUAAUGGAGAAGAGAAGAGAGAGAAGAGAAAGUGAGAGCAAAGAAGAGAGAGUGAGAAAUCUGAGUAUUUGAGUUCUGUUUGAGAAGAAAUUUUGUCAGUGUAAACACCAUAAAGAGAAAAUAUAAUUCCACUCUCAAUAUUCAGUGGUACUUCUCAUACUCUUUGAUUUCUUUAGUUUUAUAACAGUAGACAAAUUCUUCAGCUACACCACCCAAGAAUUUUUCCUGGAAAUAGAGUUUUGAAAGUGGUACCAAGGACAAGUUCAUGUGACAAAAUUAAUACAUUCUAAUUUUUGGAAGAUAGAAGCACCUUGUUAACCAUUUGUUCCAAAUCCAAAAAGGAUGAUCCAUAUGGACCAGUAGUAGCCUCCUCUGCCAACUUCUUCCAUUCCAAGGCUUUCUUCCUCAUCUUUUUGCCCUCCUCUCCCUCCAUCAACUUUCUCACCAGCUCCUCCACAUAAUUUCUUUUCACAUCAUCCCCUACCUCCAACCCUACGCCCCAUUCUCUGCAGCUGUACCUACAAUUGGUUGGCUGCUCUCCACAGAAGGACCAACAGAUCAGAGGCACACCACCGCACAAACUUUCCAGUGUAGAGUUCCAUCCACUGUGCGUCAAGAACCCUCCCACCGCUGGGUGGCUCAGGACUUGUUCUUGAGGGCACCAAUGAGCCAAUAGAGACCUGUCUUUCGUCUCUUCCAAAAACUCUGCUGGAACCACAGCUGAUUCUCCCCUAACAAGGUCUGGCCUAAUCACCCAUAGAAAUUUUUUUUUGCUAUUUGCAAGUCCCCAAGCAAACUCAAUCAGCUGCUCAUUUGUGGUGACUGCAAUGCUUCCAAAGUUGACAUAAACCACAGAGUUGGGUUCUUUGGUGUCUAGCCAUUGAAGACACUCUGGCUCCUCUGUCCAUAGGUUUGAAACAAUCGACUUCAACUCGUUCUCUGCUGGGAUCUGUUUGAGUUGUAGGUUUAGGGGUCCAAUGGAGUAAACAGGUGGAAGCAAAGUUGAAAGUGAGUCUAUGACUUCAUGUUCCAAGUCAUGAAAUGUGUUCAGAAUGACGGCGGAAGCUUUCUUAGUUCUCUCUGUUUCACCCACCAGAAAAUUCAGCAUGAUAUCAUCUGGCUCUGUGGUUCUCAUGAAGGUUGGCAAGUCCUUCAAACGGAUGUUCCUCAUGCCUGGUACCCAAUCUAGCACAGUAUUUAAAUGCCCGUUUGUAAAAUAACUGGCAUCUGCAAAAUCAGAUUAACAAAGUCUGUUAUGUUUUGUUCAGAGGGAAAAACGGCAGUUUACUCUUAAUCAGACAAUUGAUUGAUUGAUUAAUACCUUCAAAAGGAGUGAGACCUUUUUCUAUGAGUUGAUGAAACUGAACGUAGCCCAUGAAACCACAAGCACUAGGUGUCCAGAAAAAAACUGCGGGAACACCAAGUUCCUGAGCUGCAUCAAGAGUGAAACUCAUAACACCAUCAGUGAUUAAGCAAGUGACACGUGGGGAAUCAGGCGAAGAAUUGAGCUUGGAGAGAAGGUCUCUGAAGUGAGGCAAGGAGUGUUUGCUAGUGGAAUCACAUAAGGAUGGUAUGUCUUGGGUGGCAUCGGCAUCGGUUGGAGGAAGGCCAUCGGAAAUGGUCUCGAAUCGAAACGUGGGGAGGCCGUUAAGAGCGUCGGGACCUCGAGAUUUAAGGAGGCGUUUGUGGUUGUACUCUGUGUUCACAAAGGUUAUGUGGAAGCCUUUGUAGUGGAGGAGUUUGGCUAAUUGCAUGAG
rnacentral:lncRNA from 1 species